rnacentral:rRNA from 1 species
CCUACGGGGCGCAGCAGUGGGGAAUAUUGCGCAAUGGGCGAAAGCCUGACGCAGCGACGCCGCGUGAGGGAUGAAGGUCUUCGGAUCGUAAACCUCUGUCAGCAGGGAAGAACGGUCACUGUGCUAAUCAGCAGUGAAUUGACGGUACCUGCAAAGGAAGCACCGGCUAACUCCGUGCCAGCAGCCGCGGUAAUACGGAGGGUGCGAGCGUUAAUCGGAAUUACUGGGCGUAAAGCGCUCGUAGGCGGUAUGUCAAGUCAAGGGUGAAAUCCCCGCGCUCAACGUGGGAACUGCCUUUGAAACUGGCAAACUGGAGUGUGUGAGAGGAUAGUGGAAUUCCAGGUGUAGGAGUGAAAGCCGUAGAUAUCUGGAGGAACAUCAGUGGCGAAGGCGACUAUCUGGCACAUAACUGACGCUGAGGAGCGAAAGCGUGGGUAGCAAACAGGAUUAGAUACCCCAGUAGUC